CCAAAUCAACACUAAGUGAUAAAGGAGGUGGGAUUGCCCAGACAACCAGGAGGUUUGCCUAGAAGCAGCCAUCCUCAAAGGAGUGCGUAAUAGCUCACUGGUCGAGCGAUCCUGCGCCGAAAAUGAAUGGGGCUAAGUGUUGUACCGAAGCUGCGGAUUUAUGGUAGGGGAGCGUUCUAUGUGGGGCGAAGCGUUAGCGUGAGCGGGCGUGGACUGCAUAGAAGUGAGAAUGUCGGCUUGAGUAGCGAAAACAUGGGUGAGAAUCCCAUGCACCGAAACCCUAAGGGUUCCUCCGGCAGGCUCGUCCGCGGAGGGUUAGUCUGGACCUAAGGCGAGGCCGAAAGGCGUAGUCGAUGGAUAACAGGUCAACAUUCCUGUACCGGUUAUGUUUUGGGAAGAGGGACGGAGAAGGCUAGCCAAGCCAGAUGUUGGUUACUGGUUCAAGCGUUCGAGGCGUUGAGGAUCGGCGAAAACGAUCCGAGCUGAGGCGUGAGUACGAGCUGCUACGGCAGCGAAGUUGGUGAUGUCAUGCUUCCAAGAAAAGCUCUAUACCCGUUAAGGCAUAACUGCCAGUACCCGAAACCGACACAGGUGGGGUGGUAGAGAAUACCGAGGUGCGCGAGGUAACUCUCUCUAAGGAACUCGGCAAAAUGGCCCCGUAACUUCGGGAGAAGGGGUGCCACAGCAAUGUGGUCGCAGUGAAGAGGCCCUGGCGACUGUUUACCAAAAACACAGGUCUCCGCUAAGUCGCAAGACGAUGUAUGGGGGCUGACGCCUGCCCAGUGCCGGAAGGUUAAGGAAGCCGGUCAGCGUAAGCGAAGCUGGCGACUGAAGCCCCGGUGAACGGCGGCCGUAACUAUAACGGUCCUAAGGUAGCGAAAUUCCUUGUCGGGUAAGUUCCGACCCGCACGAAAGGCGUAACGAUCAGGGCGCUGUCUCGGAGAGAGGCUCGGCGAAAUAGAAUUGUCUGUGAAGAUGCGGACUACAUACACCCGGACAGAAAGACCCUAUGAAGCUUUACUGUAGCUUGGUAUUGUGCCCGGGCUCUGAAUGCGCAGGAUAGGUGGGAGAUGUUGAUCUAGUGCUCGUGGGUACUAGGGAGUCAAUGGUGAGAUACCACUCUUUCAGAGCUAGGGUUCUAACGUUCACCCGUUAUCCGGGGAGCGGACAGUAUCAGGUGGGCAGUUUGACUGGGGCGGUCGCCUCCUAAAAGGUAACGGAGGCGCGCAAAGGUUUCCUCAGGCUGGUUGGAAAUCAGCCGACGAGUGCAAAAGCAGAAGGAAGCUUGACUGUGAGACCUACAAGUCGAACAGGGACGAAAGUCGGCUUUAGUGAUCCGACGGUUCUGAGUGGAAGGGCCGUCGCUCAACGGAUAAAAGUUACUCUAGGGAUAACAGGCUGAUCUCCCCCAAGAGUUCACAUCGACGGGGAGGUUUGGCACCUCGAUGUCGGCUCAUCGCAACCUGGGGCUGAAGUCGGUCCCAAGGGUUGGGCUGUUCGCCCAUUAAAGCGGUACGCGAGCUGGGUUCAGAACGUCGUGAGACAGUUCGGUCCAUAUCCGGUGUAUGCGUAGGAAUAUUGAGAGGAUUUCUCCCUAGUACGAGAGGACCGGGAGGAACGCACCUCUGGUGUACCAGUUAUCGUGCCAACGGUAAACGCUGGGUAGCCAUGUGCGGAGUGGAUAACCGCUGAAAGCAUCUAAGUGGGAAGCCCACCUCAAGAUGAGUAUUCCCAUGGGGUAACCCAGUAAGGUCACGGGAAGAACACCCGUUGAUAGGCUCUACGUCGAAGUUCAGUAAUGGAUGCAGCGGAGGAGUACUAAUAGACCGAGGGCUUGACCAA
rnacentral:rRNA from 1 species